GAGGAAAGUCCGGGCAGCACAGAGCAAUGCACCGGUGAAUAGCCGGGUUCCGUCUUUGACGGAAACAGACAGUGCCACAGAAAAUAACUGCCUUCCCCUCUCCUUUAGGAGAGGGUUGAGGUAGGGUUGAAAACGUGAGGUAAGAGCUCACGUCCCGAUAUGGUGACAUAUCGGGAGGGUAAACCUUGCAUGCUGAAAUGCCACAUAGGUCAGCGCCUGAGAACUGCUCGUUCAAUGCUGAUGGGUAGGCAGAUUGAUCCCGGUUGGUAACUUCCGGGACAGAUAAAUGAUAGCCACUAAUCCACCUUGCUAAGGCUACGGUGGACAGAACCCGGCUUA
rnacentral:RNase_P_RNA from 1 species